UCCGGUUUAACACCGGCAGUCCCAGUAGAGUUCCCAGCAUUACCUGUUGGCAACUACCGGCAAGGGUUGCGCUCGUUGCGGGACUUAACCCAACAUCUCACGACACGAGCUGACGACAGCCAUGCAGCACCUACACAAGAGCCCCGAAGGGAGAGCGCAUCUCUGCGCCUGUCUCUUGCAUUUCAAACCCAGGUAAGGUUUUGCGCGUUGCGUCGAAUUAAACCACAUGCACCACCGCUUGUGCGGGCCCCCGUCAAUUCCUUUGAGUUUCAGCCUUGCGGCCGUACUCCCCAGGCGGGGCACUUACUGCGUUAGCGACGGCACCGGGAGGGUCGCUCCCCCCGACGCCUAGUGCCCAUCGUUUACGGCGUGGACUAC
rnacentral:misc_RNA from 1 species